rnacentral:rRNA from 1 species
UACGAAGGGGGCGAGCGUUGUCCGGAGUUACUGGGCGUAAAGGGCAUGCAGGCGGUCGGACGCGUUUUGUGUGACAGCGGAUGGCUUACCUAUCCGAGCAUACGAAAGACGGUUUGACUUGAGGACUCGAGAGGGACACGGAAUUCCGGGUGGAGUGGUGAAAUGCGUAGAGAUCCGGAGGAACACCGAAGGCGAAGGCAGUGUCCUGGCGAGUGACUGACGCUGGGGUGCGAAAGCCAGGGGAGCGAACGGG